AUGGAUUUCAUCAUUAGUCCCUUGUGAUGGAGCUUGUACCAAGAUAUGGAGGAUCCUAUCUUCUAUCUUAAGACUUCAAUACAGGCACUUCUUGAAUUUUAGAAUUAAAAUAAUGAUGAAUUUGAACUCUUUAACAUUAUCAAUUAACGAAAAGAAUAAAGGGAAAAAAGCACAAUCCCUUGAGUAACAAGGAAAAAAAUAAAAGAAAA
rnacentral:misc_RNA from 1 species